AUGCUUUUGAGAGGAUCUGCAGAUGGCUGCCAUUUAUCUAGGAAGAGAAGAGGCAGCGAUACGAAGACUGACAUUUCUACCGUGUGGUUGGAAGCUAUAAUAUAGAGCCCUACUGUCCAUGGGAUGCUCAUGUGCUAAGAUCAAGCUAACUCUCCAGGUUCUACCAGAUAAAUUGAGGUGAAAAAAGGCUAAAUAAGGCUCCUGAACUUGUUAUGCUUUCCAUGCACAGAAAGAUGGACAACUCUGGAUGUGAAGAGAAGGAUUCCUACUCACAGAAAUCAUGCAUUUUAAAGGGGUGGUGGCAGGCUGCUGAUCUCUUUAGCCCAGGUCCUUUGGUCAGUAAGGCGCUUGCCUUCCCCCAGGGAUGAAUUCCUGUCAACAAGGUGGUUCAUUGACAUUCUGCUGUGAAGAUGGAAGAAAUCUGCCUGUAGCAACACAGCAAUGGCAAGGAAAGUCACCAUAUCAGCACAAAUCUGAACAUGUGCUGAAACACUCUCCCAAACUGGAGCUGAAAUCAGUGACCCUGCAGUUUUCCUGUGCUUUGGACACUCACUGCCAUCCUAUUGGAGCAUGCCAUCCUAAUUCUGCCAUCCUAUUUCUGCAUGUCUGAAGAGAAGAAGUUGAAGAAACUGCAAAGGACAGACGACAGAGAAGAGCAGAACAGAAGAGCAAAGAGCAAAGUGAGACAUGAGGUGGGGAUGAUGAAGGUAUGGUUUCAGGCCCAGCUUCAGAGGCAUCUUCAGGCAACUAAACUUAAGCAAGUGCUUAAAGGAUUUGCUGAACUGGUCAGGAAGAAAAUUGGGAAAGAAUGCACUAAAAGGGGAAGGAAAUGGCCUGGCAGUGUAGUAGGGCCAUGCUACAGCUCUGCCACUGGGUCAGGACAGUGUCUGCAUGAAAUUUCCUAUUGCAGAUAGCCAGGCUGGGAUGACGUUUUUGUUUGCAAAUUAAAUUUUCAUGUCAAGUUAAGCCAGACUGAAUCACUCUCAUACACAUUGAUGGCUAGUGUGGAGAAGAGUCUUCUUGUAAUGCCUCCAAUGCAGACAACAUACAAAACAGCAAAUCAGUUUCUGUAUUUUUAUUCUCUCAUUUUGUAUGCUAUGUAUCUAUGUGUUAUGUAUUAUAUGUAUCAUUGGUAUUGACAAUACAGAGCCCCAGAUUCCAGCCUUAAGGAUUGCUGCUGCUGAAUUACAGACUUUCUGCUUUAAAAGCACAUGUAUGGAAUGAAUCAGAAGGGAAACAAUAUGCACAAGCUGUGUUCUGUGCUCCUGGCAGAAAGUAAAGAGGACGUCUUCAAAGUGCAAUUAGCACAGCAUGUACAUAGUGUACGUUAUGCCUCCCAGACUAUUAAAUGUUACAUUCCACAAAAGCCAAACCAAGUUUACAUGCAUACAUAUCUAAUAUUGUUGUCACAGUAAAACUCAUGUCUCUGUGUCCGGAUGUGCUGAAGAAAAGAAAUCUGAAGGCUAAACAUUAUUAGUGCUGUUUUAUUCUUUUUUUUUUCUUUCACUAGGAUUAUAAUUUGAUGUUCAUUUCUCUAUUAGCAUUUUGUAUUCAAAUGUGUGGAGAAAUCAGAACAGAGUCCCUUAAAUUGUGUUUCCUUGGAGUAUUUAAGCUGUUGUCUAAUGUAUUUCUUUUCUCACAGACAGCAUAACUUACAUUAUUAGGGCAUAGUAGUCUUUUUUUUUUUUUUCUUUUUUUUUUUUUUAGUACAACAUACAGCUCUUUAAUCAACAGUGGAAUUUUAAAUUACUGACUGCAAAAGCAGUUAUUUAAGUCAGAAAUUCCUCUGGAUACUAAAAGGGCUUUUAACAAAGGCCGUACCUUUUGGGGCCCUCGAUCUCCAGUGCCAUGUUACCACUUCACUUUUGGAGAGGGCACCAUCUUCGCUCAAACAUUGUGUCUUGGGGUAUUUCCAGGGAAACAUUUUGAAAUGUCAGAGCUACUGAUGAGAAAUCUAAAGCAAACGGACAGACAGAACAGGAGAAAAUGGGCUGAUGGGUCAGCAAAUGGGUAGAGAGUCAAAAGAAGGAGCUAGGAGUAGAAUAAAAUACAAUUUGGAAGAUGACUGAAAGAAUGAGGAGAAAACAGGCAAACAAACAUAGAAGGCAAAAAGAAAAAUUGCAAAAGAGGCAUUAGCAUUAAGGAGACAUGAGCAAAAUCAAAACAAAAGAGAAAGAUUAAAAGUGGAAAAGGGGUAAGAAGGAAAUAUGAGAGAGAAAGAAAAUGAAUGGAUUGAUGGCAAAGUAAGAGGAACACUUUUGUCCUUAACUUUGUCAUAUGGGCAUUACGUGAGUUUUGCAGACAACUUCAAAGUGGGCAAGGGAAAAAGAAGACAAGCUCUGUACUUUGGACAGCAAAAACAUGGUGUGAAUCUUCAGGAGUCAGAAGCUAAAGGUAAAUCCAGGUGGUUCAGAACUGACAAUUUCAGAUUUUGGGAACAAGAUUGUGAGAUUUUGUUUGCAUCUGAAGUAGAAAACAGAUAUACUGUGAUCAGUGCCAGAACCUAGUUCUUCAUUUCAGCUGAGAGAAUUCAGUUCUCACUCUACUAAUGAGUCAAUGAUUAUAUUCUCAAUUUGGCCCUUCUUUAAGUAUUUUUUUUUAAAAGAAUGAAAUUCAAAAUCAGUAUUGUUUUGUGAGUCUGAAAAUAUUUGUAUUUAUUCAAAGAUUUACUCAAAGUUGAAAUAUUAAUUCUAGCCUUCCUUAGACUCCUUGAGCCUUCAAAACUGAGCUGGAAAGAUUCUUCAAAGGUUGAGAUCACAUUUUUUGCAGAAUUUUUUGUAGCUAAUAUUAGGGUAGAGACUCUGAGAUGCAAUAUCAGGAUUGGAGAAUCUCUCAAGUUGUUCAUAUUUUCCUUCCCCUUCCUCAGCUGCUCUGAACACCAGUUCGAAAUAGCCCUGUGUAGGAGCUUCCUUACACAAGGACAACGAUCCUUCCCAAAGGUUGUGGCAGAACUCCAAGGGUGAGUCUCGCAAAGUUAGGCAGCUUCUAAGAAGAAAGAGAUUCUUUCCAGAGGAAAAAAAUACUGUCAUUUUAGAAGCGGGAGCUCAGUGUUAAUCUUUCGGAAGUUAUCUUGAUGCAGAAGUGCUGAGUAUCCUGUUGUAUAUAUUGACUUGAAAUUGCUCAUUUUUAAAUCACUCAGAUUGUUUACAUGUUUGAAUAUGUAUCUACAAUCUGAAUGUUAGCUUUCUGCUGUUUAAAAGUUGGUCCUAAUAAAUUUAUUACCAAGUCUGCAGACCUUA